GGCAAGCUGGGAGCCUGAGCUCCGGCGGUAGCUGAUAAACACAUCUGGGUUCUCACAGCUGGACUUGCAGCCGCUGCAAGGCAGGGGUCAUCUCGAAGCUCUUCCUCUGUCAGACGCAGCAACAGAUCUCCAUCUAUCUGAUGCUCCUGGAGUCCGUCUUGCUAUUCCCUGCGUCCUGCCUGGCUUCAGUCACGUCUGACUCUUCGGUGACCCGAUCUGGGGUUUUCUAAGCAAAGAUACUGGAGUGGUUUGCCAUUAUCUACUCCAGCUCAUUU